GUCUAUGGCCAUGCCACCCUGAACGUGCCCGAUCUCAUCUGAUCUCGGAAGCUAAGCAGGGUCGUGCCUGGUUAGUACUUGGAUAGGAGAGCACCUAGGAAUACCAGGUACUGUAGGCA
rfam:Pteropus alecto contig2443, whole genome shotgun sequence.